rnacentral:rRNA from 1 species
AGAGUUUGAUCAUGGCUCAGAUUGAACGCUGGCGGCAGGCCUAACACAUGCAAGUCGAGCGGUAGCACAGAGAGCUUGCUCUCGGGUGACGAGCGGCGGACGGGUGAGUAAUGUCUGGGAAACUGCCUGAUGGAGGGGGAUAACUACUGGAAACGGUAGCUAAUACCGCAUAACGUCGCAAGACCAAAGAGGGGGACCUUCGGGCCUCUUGCCAUCAGAUGUGCCCAGAUGGGAUUAGCUAGUAGGUGGGGUAACGGCUCACCUAGGCGACGAUCCCUAGCUGGUCUGAGAGGAUGACCAGCCACACUGGAACUGAGACACGGUCCAGACUCCUACGGGAGGCAGCAGUGGGGAAUAUUGCACAAUGGGCGCAAGCCUGAUGCAGCCAUGCCGCGUGUAUGAAGAAGGCCUUCGGGUUGUAAAGUACUUUCAGCGGGGAGGAAGGCGAUAAGGUUAAUAACCUUGUCGAUUGACGUUACCCGCAGAAGAAGCACCGGCUAACUCCGUGCCAGCAGCCGCGGUAAUACGGAGGGUGCAAGCGUUAAUCGGAAUUACUGGGCGUAAAGCGCACGCAGGCGGUCUGUCAAGUCGGAUGUGAAAUCCCCGGGCUCAACCUGGGAACUGCAUUCGAAACUGGCAGGCUAGAGUCUUGUAGAGGGGGGUAGAAUUCCAGGUGUAGCGGUGAAAUGCGUAGAGAUCUGGAGGAAUACCGGUGGCGAAGGCGGCCCCCUGGACAAAGACUGACGCUCAGGUGCGAAAGCGUGGGGAGCAAACAGGAUUAGAUACCCUGGUAGUCCACGCCGUAAACGAUGUCGACUUGGAGGUUGUGCCCUUGAGGCGUGGCUUCCGGAGCUAACGCGUUAAGUCGACCGCCUGGGGAGUACGGCCGCAAGGUUAAAACUCAAAUGAAUUGACGGGGGCCCGCACAAGCGGUGGAGCAUGUGGUUUAAUUCGAUGCAACGCGAAGAACCUUACCUACUCUUGACAUCCAGAGAACUUAGCAGAGAUGCUUUGGUGCCUUCGGGAACUCUGAGACAGGUGCUGCAUGGCUGUCGUCAGCUCGUGUUGUGAAAUGUUGGGUUAAGUCCCGCAACGAGCGCAACCCUUAUCCUUUGUUGCCAGCGGUUAGGCCGGGAACUCAAAGGAGACUGCCAGUGAUAAACUGGAGGAAGGUGGGGAUGACGUCAAGUCAUCAUGGCCCUUACGAGUAGGGCUACACACGUGCUACAAUGGCGCAUACAAAGAGAAGCGACCUCGCGAGAGCAAGCGGACCUCAUAAAGUGCGUCGUAGUCCGGAUUGGAGUCUGCAACUCGACUCCAUGAAGUCGGAAUCGCUAGUAAUCGUAGAUCAGAAUGCUACGGUGAAUACGUUCCCGGGCCUUGUACACACCGCCCGUCACACCAUGGGAGUGGGUUGCAAAAGAAGUAGGUAGCUUAACCUUCGGGAGGGCGCUUACCACUUUGUGAUUCAUGACUGGGGUGAAGUCGUAACAAGGUAACCGUAGGGGAACCUGCGGUUG